UACGUAGGCGGAAAAUUAAGUCAGUAGUGAAAUCCUGCAGCUUAACUGUAGAACUGUUAUUGAUACUGGUUUUCUUGAAUAUAGUUGAGGUAGGCGGAAUGUGUAAUGUAGCGGUGAAAUGCUUAGAUAUUACACAGAACACCGAUUGCGAAGGCAUCUUACUAAGCUAUGAUUGACGCUGAGGUACGAAAGCGUGGGGAGCGAACAGGAUUAGAUACCCUGGUAGUCC
rnacentral:rRNA from 1 species